AGUGAACGCUGGCGGUAGGCCUAACACAUGCAAGUCGAACGGCAGCACAGUAAGAGCUUGCUCUUACGGGUGGCGAGUGGCGGACGGGUGAGGAAUACAUCGGAAUCUACUUUUUCGUGGGGGAUAACGUAGGGAAACUUACGCUAAUACCGCAUACGACCUACGGGUGAAAGCAGGGGAUCUUCGGACCUUGCGCGAUUGAAUGAGCCGAUGUCGGAUUAGCUAGUUGGCGGGGUAAAGGCCCAUCAAGGCGACGAUCCGUAGCUGGUCUGAGAGGAUGAUCAGCCACACUGGAACUGAGACACGGUCCAGACUCCUACGGGAGGCAGCAGUGGGGAAUAUUGGACAAUGGGCGCAAGCCUGAUCCAGCCAUACCGCGUGGGUGAAGAAGGCCUUCGGGUUGUAAAGCCCUUUUGUUGGGAAAGAAAAGCAGCAGGUUAAUACCCCGCUGUUCUGACGGUACCCAAAGAAUAAGCACCGGCUAACUUCGCG
rnacentral:rRNA from 1 species